AAGAAUCAUUUUUGUUACUUUUCAAUCAAUAACAUUAAUAUUACAUAUUUUCAGAUCUCCUUCAACUACGAUAAUCAAAUAACCGGAAUGACAUCAAAUGCUACAUUCUUUAAAUUUAAUGCAAAUGGAAUCGAAUCGAAAGUUCUCUUAUUAUUUCGAAAAACUCAUGAAUAGAAAGUAAGACUUAAUCGUGCAGCUUUUCGCACGCCUCCAAACCGAGUUCUCGAGCAGCUGACGCGAUAAUUUAUCGGGCCGUUUAACUUUCGAAUUUCGUUCGCGUGAAACACGAGGGGCGGAGGAGGAGGAGGAGGAGAAAAAAACUCGAUACAGGAAACCAGUUUCGAACAGACCGCGAUUUCAAUAGAUUCCACGACUCUCUAAACACUGGUUCCUUCUCGAAUUUACUUACUCCAACCCAGAUCGAAUUUUACCUCUGCAUUCUCACUCUGUAACACCUCUGAAAUUCACUCUGCGUAAUGGGUAUAAAAAAAAGAAGAAAAAAAUAAGGAAAUAAAAAGUGGAGAGAUAGGAUGGAAGAGAAGAAACGGAAGAGAGAGACUUACGCUCCUUACACACAGGCGGAGAAAACGUGGCGUGUAAAUAGAGUGAAUAAAGGAGGUCGAGUUGAAAUGGGGUUGAAAAUUUGUAAAGAAGGGGAAAGGGUUUUUUUUUACGAGUUAAUGAAGGGAAGCCAGGGCAAGAAGGUUGAAAGUUAAUUAAGAACAGCCUGGAAGGAAUGAUUAUUUUUCUUUUUUCUCUCUCUCUCUCUCCUUUCUUUGAUGAUCGUGCUUCGUUCUGUACAAUGAAAAUUUGUUGCAUUUCAUUAAAGAUUUUUUUUGUAAAUUGUGUUUCUGUAAAUGUAAAGACUGAAUUAUUUGAAAAAAACAUAAGGAUAAUUUGAUCAUUAAUGUUAAUAUAUAUGUGGACCAUUUUAAGUAUGAUCAUUUUUGAUUAGAUUCAUAAUUUUAAUAAUAAAAAUUGUGUACUGUACUGUACAAUUUGAAGUAAAACUAAAUUGGGUGAAUUAAAAGAGAUUUAUAUUUGUGUGUACAAUGAUAUGAAAUGUUUCGAUUAAAAUAUUCAAAAUAUCAAUAUAGGAAUAUAAAAGGGUUGAAUUUGUUGCAAUUGAGUGUAGUUUCGAUGAAAAGGAAGCUUAUAACGAUCGAUUUCGAAUUCAUUAAAUUAUUUCUUCGUUACGUAUCGUUAUUAACCAUCGUGCCCAUUUUCAACGAUGAAUUACGAUAGUUGGUAUACAUGUUGCAUCGAUUAUAGGGAAAUUUUGAAUUGGAUGAAGAGCAACGUCGAUAUUAACGACAGUGAUUUUCUAUAACCUUCUAUCCAACGUACAAUUGUUUCAAUAAAUAAUUCUUUCGUAUAUUUUUUAAGUUUUCAAGAAUAUAAGUAAUAUUAUGAUUGAUACGCAAAAAAUAUUCGAUAUGAAGAAAGAAAUAAAGAAGAGAUAAAAAUAAAGAAAAACUAUGAUUCCGUAUACAGUUAACCUCUCGAAAGACUUUUAAAUAGUGGUAUAAAUAAUAUUAUAAUCGAUGUGCAAAAGAUUCGACAUGGAAAGAAGAUAAAAGUGAUUCUGUGAACCAUAAUCGUUUUAAAAAUGAAAGAAUCAUUUGUAGAAUCUUCGAUUUUCCGAAGGAUAUCGAGCGAAAAAACGAUUUAACCAAUUCUAGAAAUAUUAUUUGUUGAGACUAUGGGAAUCAUUAGCGAGCAAUUUAUCGUGUCGUCGUAGGGAAAUCGAGCGUCCAAACACGGGGAAUCGAUAUUCCAUUACGGAGGAUCGGUGGUUCGCCAGAGAGAGGCACGAUAAGAGGGCAACUAUGGCGAACGGGGGUACCGCUUUCAAGAUGGAAGAUAGAAACGUCUGGGAAAUGAAACUUGGUUUCAUGAAAAGCACCAUAAAAUUUGAAAUCUAACAGGAUGGAGUUACAAAUCCAUACAAAUAUUAAAUUUAUAGUCGGACAUAACAUAGUUUCACAGUAUCAUGAUAAAUUGUUUUUGAGAUCCAAUCAAUUAAGUUCUCAACUGAAAAUGGUUUUGACAAUAUAUUUUAAAACUUAAUCACGAAAUGGCACCACUUGAAAAUUGUUUAACGAGCACUAAGAAUAUUCAUUUCAUAAUUAUUUUCAUCGUUCAAAUUUACUUUUUACCAUUUUUCUUAAAUUAUUGGAGAAACAAUACGUGUACAAUAAGACUUCUCGAUAUUAAAGGCAAUCACCCUCAUCAACAUGAAUUAAUAAUUAUUAUCUAAUAAGGAUACUCGUAAACGGAUACCUUUCUUUGUCACUAAUUAUCUGCUCGUUAAUGAUCAAUUACGUAUUUUUCGUCGACAAUGAAACAAGAUCGAAAAACGAUGAAAAAGAAAAAGAAAGAAAAUCAUUUCUGAAAAUCGAGACAGUAUCUACUAAUCCUACGAUAAAUCCAUCGAUCGAAUCAUGGAUAUGAAUACUCAUCCUUAUUAUUCGCCAUUAAUCGGCUGGUAAUUAGCGAUUGCUAAUUGAGAUGUUCUUUCUCGACACGCAAAUAAAAGCUGACUCAAAAAAAGAGAUGAUAAAAAUGAAUUUUAUGGAAAUUGGUCUUUUUACCAAUGAUUGAUGAUGGGAUUGAUAAUUAAUAAAUGAAAAUUUACAUUAGGACAUUGAAUUAAAAUUUAAAGCGAAUUCAUGGAUUUUCGAGCUGGUAGCCUACAAUGAAUUUAUCUUCCCUACCGAACGAAUAUUUAGAAGGCGGGUCACAGAGAAGAACAACACGGAAUAGAGACACGAUGCUUGUUGGAAAUACUGAAUAGUCUUUCCACGGUCGUCGAAUAAGUCAACGUUUAACUCUUGUUAUUUGGAAAGACAUUUAUACUUUGCAGUAUCUCUUCCAAUUUCAUUUUAGAUGCUCUUGUAUCACUUCACAAAAUUAGCUUGAUAAGUAUUUUAUUAAAAUAAAUUCUUUAAAACAAAUUUAAUUUAUCCACUUUUUAAAAUUUAUUCACUAUAUUAAA
rnacentral:lncRNA from 1 species